UGGGGAAUUUUGGACAAUGGGCGAAAGCCUGAUCCAGCAAUGCCGCGUGUGUGAAGAAGGCCUUCGGGUUGUAAAGCACUUUGUCCGGAAAGAAAUCCUUGGCUCUAAUACAGCCGGGGGAUGACGGUACCGGAAGAAUAAGCACCGGCUAACUACGUGCCAGCAGCCGCGGUAAUACGUAGGGUGCAAGCGUUAAUCGGAAUUACUGGGCGCAAAGCGUGCGCAGGCGGUUUGCUAAGACCGAUGUGAAAUCCCCGGGCUCAACCUGGGAACUGCAUUGGUGACUGGCAGGCUAGAGUAUGGCAGAGGGGGGUAGAAUUCCACGUGUAGCAGUGAAAUGCGUAGAGAUGUGGAGGAAUACCGAUGGCGAAGGCAGCCCCCUGGGCCAAUACUGACGCUCAUGCACGAAAGCGUGGGGAGCAAAACAGGAUUAGAUACCCUGGUAGUCCACGCCCUAAACGAUGUCAACUAGUUGUUGGGGAUUCAUUUCCUUAGUAACGUAGCUAACGCGUGAAGUUGACCGCCUGGGGAGUACGGUCGCAAGAUUAAAACUC
rnacentral:rRNA from 1 species